UUUCAUUAUAUAAGAAAAGUUUUUUCCAUUUCUUCCUAUAUAUUGUAGCGCAUAGCUAUCCCCAGUGUAGCCCCAAUCUAAGGCAUUAUUCAUGCUGUCGUUUUCGAGUGCUGCCAUCGUCGUCGUCGUCGGUCGGUCGGACGGUCGCUUCGACUCACCUCUCCACUCUUCUCUUCGUUAUAUUUCGUUUCGUCUCUCUUCGCUAUCGUCUGCUGGCGUUGUUUCCAGCGCGCGUGUAGCUGGGCAUAUGUGUAUAAGUAAAUGUGUGUGUCUGUAUGUGUUUGU